GUCGUGGCUCCCCUUUUCAUUUCUGCCACGAU
rfam:Triticum aestivum genome assembly, contig: Triticum_aestivum_CS42_TGACv1_scaffold_306406_4AS